GAUGAAGAACGUAGCGAAAUGCGAUACUUGGUGUGAAUUGCAGAGUCCCGUGAACCAUCGAGUCUUUGAACGCAAGUUGCGCCCGAAGCCAUUAGGCCGAGGGCACGCCUGCCUGGGCGUCACACGUCGUUGCCCCCCCAUCUACUCCUUCGGGAUUGCGGGGGGCGGAUGAUGGCCUCCCGUGCGCCUCGUCGCGCGGUUGGCAUAAAUGCCAAGUCCUCGGCGACACACGCCACGACAAUCGGUGGUUGCGAAACCUCGGUUGCCCGUCGUGUGCGGUCGUCGCGCAUCGAGGGCUCGAAAAAAUUGCCGGGCUCCGGCUCGGCUUUCAACGCGACCCCAGGUCAGGCGGGGUUACCCGCUGAAUUUAAGCAUAUCAAUAAGCGGAGGA
rnacentral:misc_RNA from 1 species